rnacentral:tRNA from 1 species
UAAUAAGACACAAUUAAUUGUAUUUAGUUUCGACCUAAAACCUAGGCUGGCGGGCCCUUAUUUU